CCCAGUGAGUUUACACGACUCAGUAAUGCACUACGAUAUGUUAUUGUUAAUUUUGAUUCAUCAUUACUCUGUUAAUCACAGAGUUGAGCUAAAGUAAAUCAAUAAUAAAGGAUAAACAAUAUAAAUAUAAAAAUAAAAAUAAAAUCCCAAAGACUAUAUUUAACACCCCCUACUGGUUAGGAGGUAACAAGCCCCGCCUUCCCCUGCUCUGUACCGUCACUUGUGCUCAGACACAGAGAGACGGAGGUGCACGAGACCAUCGCUGAUUUUCACCGCCAAGCUUGUUGCUGGAAAAUAACUAUUAACUCGAUAAAUUGAGCAAAUAUCCAUACCGGAGAUCUGCAUGGACCUUGGAGAAACGGACCUGAUCUGUUGUGAACAUUUUGGACUUUGAAACCACCGCGAUCUGCACGGGUGCGGAUGAAGCAGACAAGAUCCUCUCUGAGAGUUGAACAUUAGAAGCGUGCUGGCUAGGUUUUUUUUGUGGGAUCGUGAGACCUGGAUUUCUUCCUGACGAGGAAGAUGGCGAGCCUUUCCCUUUGAACCGAACCACAGCCAUUCCGAGUUGGCCCAGAAGGGCAGGUUGCUCUUCUCUCACGAACAAUUGCAACAGUGCGGUAGGACGAAAUCGCACCAAUCACAGACUUUUGACCUUUUGGAUUUGACUCGACUGAACACUGACUAUUAAGCCGGCAAGACUGACAUAUCUGAGCUCAGAUAAGAUUCUGAUUGUUAUUAUUAUUGCUGUCACUGUAUAUUAUCUCGUGUUUUCAUUCCUGUUUAUGAAGUGCUGUUAACUUGUUGCUAAAUAGUUUAAUACAAUUCAAAGCAACUUUACCUGUGGCUCCAGUCAUUCUUCUCCACGCAACUCACCUUAUCCCUCCUACGAAUCUAGCUAUUGGCCCAUUCUCUCCAUCUUACUUUAAUAUCCCCUACCCUAUCCUGUACUUGGCUACAGAUCCACUGAGAGAAAUAAAUGCAGAUUAACUCAAAGUAGGAAUUGAAGCUAAGAAGAAAACAAGGAUUCAAAACGAAUGUUAAAACAGUAAAAAUCAGUAUAACAAAUAAUCAAACUACAAAAUAAAAAAAAUAAAACAAAACACUGGAAUCAGACAGUUCAUCCAAAGCACUCUAAAGUUAUUCAGAAACUCUGAGGUGAAAAAACUGCGACCAUGACAGUAAGAGAAGGAAGCAUUGGCAUACUGACAUAAGGAGACAUAGAACAGAGAAGUCCUUCACGUCGUCCUUUUUAGGUGGUUGGAAAUGCUGAGGAUCUUUUAUCAGGUACAACUAAAGCACAAAGGAAAA